UGAUUAUUCAUGUACUGUUACUGUAAAGUGUUACCGUUACAGUUCCUCUCGAUGUUGUGGAACGUCCACGAGACAACUUUUUGUUACAACUUUGGUUAGAGUCGAUCCUCUCUUGAGGUUAAUAAAACGAAAACGCAGCUCGUCAUGUUACCCAGAAACCUUCGCAGCCAGCACUACAGUCAGAGCGGUUAUUCUAGAAUAAAAAUCAAAAAUGUCACGCCGCAUAAGUAUAGCAGACUCGUGCAUUAGCUAUGAACGUCUAAUGCCGUAUACGACCCCCUGUACUGAAACGGAACUCUUUUGUUAAAUUUGUCCUCACCCAUACAGAGAACAUCUUUUGUUGUUAUUUAAAAGACACGUCUCUACUUACAGUAUCUUUAUAUAAUUCUUACAAAACUCUUCAAUCCUUCCUCAUUUCAAAAGACUCUUGAGCUCGCAGUGAAAGCGUUUGACUAAUGAGCGACAGAAAUGAGGGGGGGGAAACACGGACAAAAGCCCGAGCAGGUGUCUAAAGCGACACUCUGCCUCGUCUCAUCUCAGCUUCUUCAUAUCCACAGCCAUCCUGCUGCACGAUUAUACACGUCUCUUCAUCACGUUUUAAAGAAGUUGAGCAGCUUGUAACGUUUCCUCUGCCUAUUUUAUUUAUUUAUAUUUUUUUAUAUAUAUAUAUAAUUUUUUCAUUUUUUUCCCCGAGACACUUGACGCACCAUUAAUUUGACUCAACGCGCUAACGAUGAUUAUUUGUGCUUCCUUUGUUUUCUCUGAAGCCUUCACACCUUCAGUGCACUUUGAAAAAAUGAUUUCCAGCAGGUCUCAAUGUUGUUUUGUUUAUUUAUUUAUUUAUAUAUAUAUAUAUUUUUAUCGCUGCAUGGUCUGCUUAUUAUCACCUGCCUGAAUACACUUCAUUAGCACAUGAAUAUUUGGUGCAACUUUUCAUCCAGGAUUUAUCAAAGCCACGUUGAUUGAAAUGUGCUAAGAAUCGCAUGGGUAAUUGUUACUUUAGUAAAAAAAAAAAAAAAAAAACAUUUAUUUGAAAUAACAGACGAAGCUAGACUUUGCAGUUGAGUUUCUUAUUUCAUUUGAGACCCUGCAGACACCUGAUUUCAUUCCCUACACUGUAAAAAUAUAUUUUUUUGGAUUUAUACUAUUAUUGAUCUACUUAUUUAUUGUAUUUAUUUUACAAGCUAAUGUCCUGACUAAAGUGUUGACAUAUCCACUCAGAUUAAUUAAUCCCAUCCCUCAAAAAAAUCUGAAUAAAACCUUUUAUCCGAGAUGAAACUGAGAUCAGUCGGCGUGUAAGGAAAGAGAUCACAAGGUUUCUUUGUAGCCCUGUAGCAUUUCUCUUUAGUUGCCAGGUGUGUUGUUUUCACCACCUCUUGCCUUGACGUUUUCCACCUUCCCUGCGUUUGUAAUAUAAAUUCAUAAGCCAUGAUAAUAUUCUUGCAUUACUUGAAAAAACUAUGUUCGGUGUGGUCACUGAUAUUUCGUAGAAAUGCACAGUAUAACAACAUCUCACUGAGGCAGAGUAUUUAUGCUGGUCUUAAUGUUUGCAUCGCUCACACACGUACACACACACAUACACACACAGCCUCUCCUGCAUGUUACUCUUGUAAAUGUUCUUCUGUUUUUCUCCAUGGCUCAUUUCAGUGAGAAAGAGAUGAAAAUGACCAAAAAACAAUAAACACUUUAAAAAAAAAAAAGCCCAAAAGUGCAUAAUUUCUUGCAUGAUGAAAACUGAUCUCAUGAAACAUUCGUUCAACUUAAUACAAAUGAAAAUAUGUCAUAAGAAAAGGUAUUCGAGUGUAAAAUCAAGCAGGGGGAAAGUUUUUAUGUGAUGCAGCCAGACGCAAAGCAGACUCACUGCUACAGCACCAAAGUGGAUUAUUUUUGAAUAACAGCACGUCCUGAAGUAUUUUUUUAUUUCUGUUACACAGCAGAGGGGGGG
ensembl:lncRNA